rnacentral:misc_RNA from 1 species
UCCGCCCGCACCGCAGUCUGCACGCAGCCGUCGCGAGCGCCGCCCGCACUCCCGCGACAAAAAAUCCCGCACUAGCGCGCAAACGAUAAUCCGCAAUUCGUGAAUUAAAAUUCAAACCUCUGUGCAUGAAUUAAAACUCUUUCGUUUCCCCUCCGUGUGUUCCAAGUGUCUGUGAUUCAGUUCCAUCACGUAGUGAAUUUUAAUUUUUCUGUGAUCGCUGUCGGACUAAGCGGCGGUUUUAUAAUUGAGCUUUGUUGAAUUAAGAAUGUGGUGGUGUGAGACGAGUGGCGCGGGGUGAGGUGAAGGGCGGGGCGCCAUGAGCGCUCCCGAGCCGUCGGUGCUCAGCGCACUGAAGGGCUUCACGGAAACCAGCGACAAGUGGCCCGGACCACGUGCUGUUAAGAUCUACGUCGCCUCCGUUUACAAUGAAUUCCGCGAGGAGAGACGUCAAAUCCUGGAGAUGGUCGGACCAGAGUUGCAGUCCACGUACGACGAUCGAUACAUUGAGAUCGAGUUCGUGGACAUGCACUAUGGGACUGACGGUGGGGACGAAGCUAAUCCAGCAUUACUUCAACAUUACCUCGAAGAAAUACGAUGCUGCAACCAAACAUCGAAAGCCGGUUAUUUUCUGUGUCUCAUCGGUGGCGAUGCAUCAUCAUACCAGCCGGUACUCCCAUUCAAGAUCCCAGAAGCUACGUUCGAGGAGCUGGUCAAGUCAGAUUCGGCACAGGCGGCACUCGUUCGAGCUUGCUACCGGCUGAAUGGAGACGGUAGCUACCACUUGGAGGGAGAAGAUAAGUGGUUCAGUGAUUUAAUGGAUCGCGAAGAACAAAGAAGUCGUCUUUUCGAGGUGCAAAAAGCAUUUAAUGCGACAGCCCUUGAAGCUUCGGCAAACGGUCUAGAAGUAUCCGACUUGCUCCGUAGCCCCGUCGAAUUACAAUGUGAAUUAGCCUUAGAUCUCCUAUCAAGUGGCAAUCAUCCAAAAGGGAUGAUAGCCGUUAUAAGAGACACGCCAGACUUGGAGCCGGAUGACUCCAAGAUAACAGUGUUGGCGCAUAGCAGGUUAAAAGAACUGAGAAGAAAAAUGGAAGACGCCUUACCUGAUACACAUAUUAUUACGUUGGAGUCAUUAUCAGCAGAAUCAUCGAGAACAGAUGGUGCGUCUGACAACGAAGAGAAACUAGCUCCCUUCAGGGAGAUGGUACAAGUAGUGGUCAGUUCACUCGUCGACGAGAGCCUUAGCACCGAGCCCGAUCAGGGGAAGGGAAGAAAAAAGACUGUACAGGAAGUUUUUCUGGAACACAUCACUCAUCUUAGGAUAUGUAUAGAACAUAAUCGUUUGUAUAAAGUUAACGUUAAGCAAGUUGAAGAAGCAGCCAAAAGUAUUUUACAUAACGCUAAGGAAAAUUAUGAAAACCGCACACGGCAUCCACCGGCCUUAAUAUAUGGGCCUGAUGCUUCAGGAAAAAGCACCUUAUUGACACAUCUUUACUUCAAGUGCGAAGAAAUAUUUCCAAAGCCAGUGUUGAGGAUAGUAAGAUUUUCCGCUUCGACACCGCGAUCGGCCUAUAACUUGGAGCUGCUGCGAGUGAUGUGUCAACAGAUAUCGAUAAUUUUAAACAUUCCCGAAGGAUACUUGCCGAAAGACGCGAGUUUCGAUCCUCUUUAUAUUAACAAUUGGUUCCAAAGUCUGCUUAGGAAAUGCGAGGAGAUGGAAAAUGAGAUUUUGUUAAUAUUUAUCGAUAAUGUUCAUAGAGUGAAUCCGUUGGAAUGUGAUAUAGUGACGGGAUUAUCUUGGCUGCCGAUGUCGUUGCCAAGAAAUGUGUUUCUCGUGUGUACUAGUGCCGUAUCUUUGGAGCAACUGCAGCUGACGCCAGCGCAGAAAGAAAAGUUCAAAGUUCAGAACUGUUACUAUUUGUUGGACGCGAUCGACGAGACUCCAGAGAAUAAUAGCUACGGAGACUAUAUUGAUGGUGCCUUCGAUAAUUUAGAAGUCGUCUUCGGUUCUAAAGCGUUUAGUAAAUUAGCAAGUUACAUAACAUGUUCAGAGUUCGGUCUAACGGAGCUAGAACUCUUGGAACUGCUGAUGCCGACGAGUAACAGUGACGCCGUCAUCACUCUGAAGGAAGCCAACUUCAACUUCUCUACCAUAUGUGUAGCUAAGAAUAUGAUGAAAAACCUAAUAUCGGAGAACGUAGUAUCAGGGCGUUGUACCUGGCGGUGGCGAGCCGCGGCGGCCAGCUCGCGCGCUCGGCGCCGCUACGUGCGCUCUCAAGCGGCGCUCAGAGACGCGCACUCCGACCUAGCUGCGUUACACUUCGCCAACUUCCUACACGAUGCCGAUGAUACUGAUACUUCUGAAGCUCAGGAACCUGUUCGUGUGCUCAUAGGUUGCGUGGACAAUGACGACGAUGCUCUCCUGGACUCGACCCCCUUCCACUCCGCCAGUAGGACGGCUGCGGCGUUCACGCAGCGACACGUUGAGGAGUCCUGGCUCCAUCUGCUGUUGGCUGGAGACUUCUCAAAGCUGAAGGACCUCACUGUUUGUAACUUCGACUUUUUACUUGCUUCGGUACAAACAGUAACGAUAUCGUACCUCCGCUGCAUCUUGGAGCACGUGCGAUGUUACAUCUUGGACCGUGACGUGGAGCUAGUCUACGGAGCCGUAAGGAAGUCCAGCGAUAUACUCACCAGGGAUCCUAUGCAGUUGGGUGCUCAGAUAAUAGCAUGGCUCCGGCCAGCGGUGGCGCGUCGCGGGGUGCUGGCUACUCUAGUGACCGCCGCCAUGGCGUGGUGUGACGGCUACGACAAGCCACUACUUGUACCCCUCAAUGGAUGGUUACAACCACCAAUAGCAUCAACAGUUCGCGUGCUCUCAGUAGGGGGAUCAACUCCUGGUGCUGGAGCGCGACUCCUGCAACUGGCACCUUCGGGACAACAUCUAGUGCUCGCACCUUCAGCGGGAGACCCUCAGCUGUGGCAUGUCAUGUCUAAUUCCAGAGUGCAUACGUUUAAAGGUCAUUCAGGAAGGAUUCUAUGCAUGUGUGUGACAAGAGAAUCGCAAUACCUUCUGACUGGGUCAGAAGACACCAGCGUUAUUGUAUGGGAUCUCCACACAUUGGCAGUCAAGACUAAAAUACUAGAACACAUAGCGCCGGUGCUGUGCGUGGCAGCCAUCGUGAACCGGUCGUUAGUGAUCAGCGGGGGGGAGGACUCGGCGGUUAUUGUCACAUCACUCGUAGAUGGGGCACUGGUAACAAAACUAGACCACCACCGCGGCCCAGUGACAGCUGUCAAAGUAAUCCAAGAUGGCGAGAUCCUUGUCACAUGUUCCCAAGACGGGACAGUUUGCACGUGGAAUGUAGACAACUUCACUUUACUCAGUACCGUGAACGCUGGCGUGCCAAUAAAUACUAUGGAAGUGACAGACGACAAUGUGUUCCUUAUAACAUUGCAAGGAGAAAAUGAACUGCAUGUCCGAACUUUCAUUACGGGGACACAUCUGCAUGUACUGAAGAGACACAAGGCUAAGGUGAAAUGCUUCUGCGUGGCUCACGACUCGUCUCGUGCGGCUGUAGGAUGUGCUGACCAACGCAUCUACUUGUAUAGUCUACACAGCGCAACGCUUUUGAGAACAUUAGCAGUAGCUCAUGAUCUGGCUGCCCUUGCUGUGGCGGAUAAAGAUCAUUUCUUGUUAGCUGCAGGCGGCAACAGAGUUACGAUUUAUUCAUUCCACACAGAGGAUAACUUGACCAAUUUCCGACCAACUAAGCAGACGAAGCGACGCCAAACAAAAUCUAUGACGAAUGUCACAAUGUUACAGGCGGAACAAAGUGAACUGAUCCCAAUCAGCUGUCUAGAAAUCUCCCGUGACGGCCAAUUGGCCGCCAGCGGUUGUGCCCGCGGCUUAGUACGAGUGUGGCAUCUCUCUACCCAUCGUCUUCAAACAACGCUGAACGGACAUCUAGGACAUGUCACUUGUGUUACAUUCUCUCCUAACAAUUUGUUGGUAUUAAGUGGAUCUGAGGACAGAACUAUUGUGGUCUGGCAACUGGCUGAUAACUCACCUUCGUUAACAUACAAGGGUCACUCAGCCGCCCUACAAACACUACUGAUGAUGUCGGACGGUCGUCGCGCGAUGUCGGGCGACCGCGCGCGUACAGUGCACGUGUGGCUGGUGGACUCAGGGAUCGUGCUGCACUCCACUGCCGCGCCUACUGCCAGCCUUGACGUCACGCUUAAUAUGAAGUUUGCUGUACUAUCAGACGGUGAUAACUCAGUUCGUAUUUGGACACUAGCCGGAGGUGAUAGUGGGGAAGAAAAACGCAACGUAUCACAUGCAGAAAGGAUCACAUGUUUCGCUUUGACAGCUGACUCGCAACACGUUGUCACCGGCUCUAUGGAUAUGUCGCUCAAGGUCUGGAAGUUAGAUGGAGGGAAAUUGUCUCAGGUACUGGUCGGUCACUCAGACAUAGUCACCUGCGUAGCGGUGUCUAUAACAAAUAAGACUCAGAUAGUAUCAGGGUCUUGGGACUGUAAUCUCAUAGUGUGGGACAUCAAUACUGGCUCCGACCUUCAUUUGCUAUCUGGACAUCUGGGAAAAGUUACCUGCGUCAAAGUCACUGGAGAUGGAACUAUCGCUGUGUCUAGUGCGGAAGAUAAAACACUUAUUAUCUGGGAAACUAAAAGGGGUCUAGCGUUGACGUCCUUAGCGUUGCACGUGCCGCUACUCGGGUUCCAGAUCACUAGCGAUUGCGCACGAAUCGCUGUUCAUCUGCUGGAUCGAGGUUGCCUUCCGAUGAUUUGCCUGCACAAUACACCAGCCACGUAUGUUAAGAUACCAACAUAUGCUGCACCUACUAAAGAUGUUGAUGGUAAGUCAAAGUUGCGUCCGUUGGCUCCGAAGCGGCCGAUGAGAAGAUUACUCAAGAAAGAAGUUUCUUUGGAUACCUAUACGUGGCAGAAGAAAUAUGGGCAUCUUACUUCGGCAGCCAUGAUGGCUCAAGUCGAUGAACGUUUAAAGAGAAGGUUUUCUGUUUCCGCAUCCAUGGAAGAGAUCUCGAAAAUACAAGAAGCAAAGAACAAAGACUUAGGUUCACAGGUGAGCUUAGGACCUGAAGAGGCGGCAAUAGCGCAAUCUCAGCACUUCGAUCAGCUUGAAGCUUUAUGGAACAAGAUAUCGCCGCCGAGGCGACGCUCCAAUAAGUCACUGCAGAAACAGAGCUCGUUAAUCGAGAGUCGAUUCGAUUCUUCGGACGAAGAGCACACGCCCGUUGAGGAACAAGAACACAUGGUCGAGUAAGGAUGCUUAGUUUUAAACAAUAUCAAUUAAUUAAUUUUAACUUAUUUAUUAAAAAUUCUGCAUUAUGAGCUGGUCUCGUUUCGUCUUAAUUUGUAGAUUGUUUAUUCAUUAUUAUAAUAAGUUUUAGUGGAAAUAAUAGUUUUCCUUUUCUGUCCCUAUCUUUUUAAUUCGCGAUUCAUCACAAGAUCUUAUUUUUCUAUUAGUUUGUUACAUAAUUUCAGUCAUUUUUAAGUGUUAACAAAAUUAAUGAAAAUACGAACUAAGUUUAAUGAAAAUUAGACUUUAGGUUUAUAACAAAAAUUACGAAAUAAGUCAAUAUUUAAAAAAUAAAGUUAAAAUUGCUGAUAAUACUGUUGUAGGAAGCUAUAAAAUAAUUUACGUGUACGCAUUGUGAUCUUCUAGACUUAUUACUAUUAGCUUCCUUUCGGGGCCAGUUUCUUAAUAAAAAUAAUAUUUUAGUAAACACUUUAUAUUGCAGAACAACACAAUACUCGUCCUCUUUUAAAAGAAUUUACACAAAAAUAUAUCAAUAUCUACGUUAUUUGAAUAAAAAUAACAAUAUUGAUCGAUAUUAUUGGAAACUGGUCCUCGGUAGUUUGACUGUAACUUUGAUUCACGCUAAUAUUUCAGCACGUGUUAAGUACUUACUUAGGUACAACUUAAGAGUAAUAAAUAAGUAGUAACUAUAUUACCUUCGGAGCUUCAGUUUAAUGCUAUUAGAAGAUUUUUACGUAUCACUGAUUUUUAUGAGCUUUAAAAUAUUUAGCGUCUAUUAGUAAACACCUCUUUUGGUGUUAAGUACGAAUUCGCUGUUAUUUAAGAUAUUCUAAAAUGCAAAAAUAUUUAUUGUUUAGUUAUAAUUAUUUUACCAAAGUUGUGUUACCUUAAUCAGUACAAUACUUUAAUUUUAAUAAAUGUUAAAAUGUAGUCCUUCAUGUUUUCUAAAGCUUUAUUUUUCCUUUUUUCCUAAAUCUUUCGCAUAUUCUAGUAAUUUUAAAUAUUAUUGUUGAAUACCUAUUCUGUUAAAUAUCUCAGUGUUUAAACUGAUAAUGUUUCAAACUGAUAUUUUAAUCAAUUAUUUUGUUGUUAAUAUUAAUAAGUAAUAAUGUUAAGUGAAAAUAGUUGUUAAUGAAAUAAUAGAUUAGUAGUUUAGUUAGAUCUAGACUGUAAUUUCCCCGAUUUGUGUAUCGAACUAGUGUUUUCCAACUGUGAUCCCUAAUAAAGACUUCUAUAUAAGUACACAUAGUUUUCAAACUACAAAGAGUUAUCCUUAUGAAUAAUUAGUGUAAUAUUAUCGUCUGUUAGAUACAAUCUAUCUAUUGAAGUGGUUUAUGAAUAACUUUUUAAAUAUUUUUGUUUGCAACAUCAUGAAAUUAAACUAAUGAAAUAUUUAUGACACGUUAACCAUAUUGCAAGUAAGAGCUAACGAGGAGAGAAAGGUUUUUCAUUGACAACUUUGUAUACAAUAAAUAAUAAAUUCCAAAAAGUAAAAAAAAACGUUUGUACCAAGGAAGCUUUUGCACCUAUCGUAAACUUUUAUCCAAACGACUGUUUUAACUUGUUCGCAUUUUCACAACUAUUGUUUUCUUCAGCGUUUCAAUUCGUAAUAUUAAGUACAUAAUGACUUUUGUAAUUUCAAUCAGUUUUAGGUAGUAGUAAUAAAUUACUUUAAACAAAUAUCGAUCAUAGCUAUUUAAUUAAAAUUUGAUUGAUGCAGCGAGUAAUGCUAUAAGUAGGGUAAAUUUUAUUGUGUAGAAUUUCUAAAAUUUUAAAUGUUGGUAAUAGACGUUACUUGUCUGUAUAAAUUAGACAAUGCAAUAAUAUUUCAUAAGUAGAUGCACUUACUUGUAGUCGAAUAGGCAACUGAAUCCUCUUCUGAAUACAAUUCAAUGAAUAUAUUCGAACAAACAAAGCUCGGCACUUUACGCUUCUUAAAUCAAUCUGUCACAAACAAGCUAAAAGUAUUUUGAAGGGAAAUUCGAUAGCUGUUUACACUUGAGGACAAAAUAAAAGAGGCAGUGUUUCACGAUAUUUGUGGAAUCCGUAUUCGUAAACAAUGCGGUUAUAAGUCUAAAGCUAGAGUGUGUUUAUUCAUCGAAGUCGUAUAAUUUUGUCCUCAGGUGUAAAGUUCAGUUUGAUUGCAAUAAGUUGAAAAACUAAUCGUUAAACACUGUCACCUUGUUAACUAUUUGUAUAGAGUUUUAUAUAUUUAUCGUUUCUUAUUCCUCACGUACGUGAGUUUUAUUUUUGACCUGUCGUGGCAUUAUAUCUGAAAAUAUAUCCUCUGUGUUUCUUA